AAGCAAAGCAGCGAUGUGGAGCAAACCCCUAAAAACGUUCUCAGUUCAGAUUGCAGGCUGCAACCCGCCUGCAUGAAGUCGGAAUUGCUAGUAAUCGCGGAUCAGCAUGCCGCGGUGAAUACGUUCCCGGGGCCUUGUACACACCGCCCGUCACACCAUGGGAGCCGGUAAUACCCGAAGUCAGUAGUCCAACCACGUGGGGACGCUGCCGGAGGUAGGAUUGGCGACUGGGGUGAAGUCGUAACAAGGUAGC
rnacentral:rRNA from 1 species